GAGGAACGCUGGCGGCGUGCUUAACACAUGCAAGUCGAACGGAACGGCCCUGCUUUUGUGGGGUGCUCGAGUGGCGAACGGGUGAGUAACACGUGAGUAACCUGCCCUUGACUUUGGGAUACUUUAGGAAACUGGGGCUUAUACCUGAUAGGUGCUCCUGCUGCAUGGUGGGGGUUGGAAAGUUUCGGCGGUUGGGGAUGGACUCGCGGCUUAUCAGCUUGUUGGUGGGGUAGUGGCUUACCAAGGCUUUGACGGGUAGCCGGCCUGGGAGGGUGACCGGCCACAUUGGGACUGAGAUACGGCCCAGACUCCUACGGGAGGCAGCAGUGGGGAAUAUUGCACAAUGGGCGGAAGCCUGAUGCAGCAACGCCGCGUGCGGGAUGACGGCCUUCGGGUUGUAAACCGCUUUCGCCUGUGACGAAGCGUGAGUGACGGUAAUGGGUAAAGAAGCACCGGCUAACUACGUG
rnacentral:rRNA from 1 species